rnacentral:rRNA from 1 species
UUCGGGUCGUAAAGUUCUGUUGUUAGGGAAGAACAAGUACCAGAGUAACUGCUGGUACCUUGACGGUACCUAACCAGAAAGCCACGGCUAACUACGUGCCAGCAGCCGCGGUAAUACGUAGGUGGCAAGCGUUGUCCGGGAAUUAUUGGGCGUAAAGCGCGCGCAGGUGGUUCCUUUAAGUCUGAUGUGAAAGCCCACGGCUCAACCGUGGAGGGUCAUUGGAAACUGGGGAACUUGAGUGCAGAAGAGGAAAGUGGAAUUCCAAGUGUAGCGGUGAAAUGCGUAGAGAUUUGGAGGAACACCAGUGGCGAAGGCGACUUUCUGGUCUGUAACUGACACUGAGGCGCGAAAGCGUGGGGAGCAAACAGGAUUAGAUACCCUGGUAGUCCACGCCGUAAACGAUGAGUGCUAAGUGUUAGAGGGUUUCCGCCCUUUAGUGCUGCAGCUAACGCAUUAAGCACUCCGCCUGGGGAGUACGGCCGCAAGGCUGAAACUCAAAGGAAUUGACGGGGGCCCGCACAAGCGGUGGAGCAUGUGGUUUUAUUUCGAAGCAACGCGAAGAACCUUACCAGGUCUUGACAUCCUCUGACAACCCUAGAGAUAGGGCGUUCCCCUUCGGGGGACAGAGUGACAGGUGGUGCAUGGUUGUCGUCAGCUCGUGUCGUGAGAUGUUGGGUUAAGUCCCGCAACGAGCGCAACCCUGAUCUUAGUUGCCAUCAUUCAGUUGGGCACUCUAAGGUGACUGCCGGUGACAAACCG